ensembl:miRNA
UCAGGUGCCGUGCAGCAGCUGGUGUUGUGAAUCAGGCCGUCACCAGUCGGAGAACGGCUACUUCACAACACCAGGGUCGCACCGCACCAC